UACAGAGGGGGCAAGCGUUGUUCGGAAUUACUGGGCGUAAAGGGCGCGUAGGCGGCCUGCUAAGUCGAACGUGAAAUCCCGGGGCUCAACCCUGGAACUGCAUUGGAUACUGCCUUGCUUGAGUGCUGGAGAGGAGACUGGAAUUUACGGUGUGGCAGUGAAAUGCGUAGAUAUCGUAAGGAAGGCCAGUGGCGAAGGCGAGUCUCUGGACAGCUACUGACGCUGAGGCACGAAGGCCAGGGGAGCAAACGGG
rnacentral:rRNA from 1 species